rnacentral:ncRNA from 1 species
AAAAGUUAGGUUUGUGAUUGAAAGUCGAUGCCAGUCGCAGGCGAAACGACCCACGUAAGUUAAACAAAUGUUUAAUGAUCAUGGUGCGGCUUAGAUGUUAGUCCUGCCGUCUUAUGACGAGAGGGUUAGUAGUGAGAGGUAAGUUCCGGGUAGCGAAAGCUCCAGCAGGCGGGUGUGGGGGCAAAGAUCAGGUCAACUAACUUUU